rnacentral:rRNA from 1 species
UUGUUGGUGAGGUAAAGGCUUACCAAGGCUUCGAUCAGUAGCUGGUCUGAGAGGACGACCAGCCACACUGGGACUGAGACGCGGCCCAGACUCCUACGGGAGGCAGCAGUGGGGAAUUUUGGACAAUGGGGGAAACCCUGAUCCAGCCAUGCCGCGUGAGUGAAGAAGGCCUUCGGGUUGUAAAGCUCUUUCAGCCGGAACGAAACGGUUACGAUUAAUACCUGUAACUACUGACGGUACCGGAAGAAGAAGCACCGGCUAACUACGUGCCAGCAGCCGCGGUAAUACGUAGGGUGCGAGCGUUAAUCGGAAUUACUGGGCGUAAAGCGUGCGCAGGUGGUUUUGUAAGUCAGAUGUGAAAUCCCCGGGCUUAACCUGGGAACUGCGUUUGAAACUACAAGGCUAGAGUGUGGCAGAGGGGGGUGGAAUUCCGCGUGUAGCAGUGAAAUGCGUAGAGAUGUGGAGGAACACCGAUGGCGAAGGCAGCCCCCUGGGUCAACACUGACGCUCAGGCACGAAAGCAUGGGGAGCAAACAGGAUUAGAUACCCUGGUAGUCCAUGCCCUAAACGAUGUCAACUAGUUGUCGGGUCUUAACGGGCUUGGUAACGUAGCUAACGCGUGAAGUUGACCGCCUGGGGAGUACGAUCGCAAGAUUAAAACUCAAAGGAAUUGACGGGGACCCGCACAAGCGGUGGAUUAUGUGGAUUAAUUCGAUGCAACGCGAAAAACCUUACCUACCCUUGACAUGUAUUGGAGCCCGCAGAGAUGUGGGUGUGCCCGAAAGGGAACGAUAACACAGGUGCUGCAUGGCUGUCGUCAGCUCGUGUCGUGAGAUGUUGGGUUAAGUCCCGCAACGAGCGCAACCCUUGUCAUUAAUUGCCAUCAUUUAGUUGGGCACUUUAAUGAGACCGCCGG